CCUACGGGUGGCAGCAGUGAGGAAUAUUGGUCAAUGGACGCGAGUCUGAACCAGCCAAGUCGCGUGAAGGAUGACUGCUCUAUGGGUUGUAAACUUCUUUUAUAUGGGAAUAAAAUGUUCUACGUGUGGGCUUUUGUAUGUACCAUAUGAAUAAGGAUCGGCUAACUCCGUGCCAGCAGCCGCGGUAAUACGGAGGAUCCGAGCGUUAUCCGGAUUUAUUGGGUUUAAAGGGUGCGCAGGCGGAAUGUCAAGUCAGCGGGAAAAUUUCGGGGCUCAACCCCGGCGUGCCGUUGAAACUGGCGUUCUUGAGUGAGCGAGAAGUAGGCGGAAUGCGUGGUGUAGCGGUGAAAUGCAUAGGUAUCACACAGAACUCCGAUUGCGAAGGCAGCAUACCGG
rnacentral:rRNA from 1 species